AAACCGUGUGCCUACAAGUAGUCAGAGCCCGUUAAUGGGUGAUGGCGUGCCUUUUGUAGAAUGAACCGGCGAGUUACGAUUGCAUGCAAGGUUAAGGUGAGAAGCCGGAGCCGCAGCGAAAGCGAGUCUGAACAGGGCGAGUGAGUAUGCAGUUGUAGACCCGAAACCAGGUGAUCUACCCAUGUCCAGGGUGAAGGUAAGGUAACACUUACUGGAGGCCCGAACCCACGCACGUUGAAAAGUGCGGGGAUGAGGUGUGGGUAGCGGAGAAAUUCCAAUCG
rnacentral:rRNA from 1 species